rnacentral:rRNA from 1 species
UACAGAGGGGGCAAGCGUUAUUCGGAAUUAUUGGGCGUAAAGGGCGCGUAGGCGGCCUGACAAGUGGAAGGUGAAAUCCCUCGGCUUAACCGAGGAACUGCCCUCCAAACUGUUUGGCUUGAGUCCGGGAGAGGUGAGUGGAAUUCCCAGUGUAGCGGUGAAAUGCGUAGAUAUUGGGAGGAACACCAGUGGCGAAGGCGGCUCACUGGACCGGAACUGACGCUGAUGCGCGAAAGCUAGGGGAGCGAACAGG